rnacentral:rRNA from 1 species
GAUGAACGCUGGCGGCGUGCCUAAUACAUGCAAGUCGAGCGAACAGACGAGGAGCUUGCUCCUCUGACGUUAGCGGCGGACGGGUGAGUAACACGUGGAUAACCUACCUAUAAGACUGGGAUAACUUCGGGAAACCGGAGCUAAUACCGGAUAAUAUAUUGAACCGCAUGGUUCAAUAGUGAAAGACGGUUUUGCUGUCACUUAUAGAUGGAUCCGCGCCGCAUUAGCUAGUUGGUAAGGUAACGGCUUACCAAGGCAACGAUGCGUAGCCGACCUGAGAGGGUGAUCGGCCACACUGGAACUGAGACACGGUCCAGACUCCUACGGGAGGCAGCAGUAGGGAAUCUUCCGCAAUGGGCGAAAGCCUGACGGAGCAACGCCGCGUGAGUGAUGAAGGUCUUCGGAUCGUAAAACCCUGUUAUUAGGGGAGAACAAAUGUGUAAGUAACUAUGCACGUCUUGACGGUACCUAAUCAGAAAGCCACGGCUAACUACGUG